rnacentral:lncRNA from 1 species
AGAGGGGUGAAGGACGCUUGCGUGAAUCUUCAGAAUCGGACAAUAUCUGGCAGGGGAGCCCCGUAUUUUUUUCCCCCUCAUGUGGCAUUAGAUGCCUCACGUGCUCCGCAUAGGCAGGAGCAUGACAUUUGGGAACACUGCAGCACAGAUCUAUUGGGGCUGACCACGGGCCAAUUAUAGUGUUGUGAUUAGAUUUGAAUAGAUUUGAACCCUUAGCCUGACGAGGACGUCAGGGCUUGAAUGGGGGGAGUAUGUGAGGACUCGUGCGGGCAUGUGUUUAGUCCCACAUCGGUUAUUCGCUGG